rnacentral:lncRNA from 1 species
CUAAACAAGGUUAAAAUCCAAACAUCCUGACUCUGUUUUCCUCUGCCCAAAGACUUGGCACUGAUGAUAGAAGGAUCCCAGCUUAGUCGAACAGGCUGAAGCCCAUGUCCUGCAAAGGCAUAUCGAACAAAACAAUUAGUUGUUGAACCAAGUUUGAUAAAAGCCACACUCUUACUAUAGCCCCUAGAACAGCAAGACUAGAUGGUAUAUGGAAUGACACAAAAUUUGCGUAAAGGCGAGGCAUUUGCUACAAGAGAACAUAUGAAAGAUACGUCAACAUAGGCAAUAAAAAUCAGGCAUUACUACAAGAUAACAUAUGAAAGCCUUUUGUGUACCACCUGAUCGUAGCAUUCUAACAGGAAGCAUAAUGGAUACUAAAACAAACAUGGGCAAUAAAAAUGAGCUUACAUCAUCACUCUCUUCCUUCUCCUCCACCUUCUCUUCCUUCUUAGCCUCAGCCGCAGGAGCAGCACCACCACCAGCAGGAGCAGCAGCCGCAACAGCAACACCACCGCCGCCGCAUGGGACUGAAGCAAACUUCUCCCUACCGGCAGCAAUGAGCUCAGUGAUGUCCUUACCACUCAGCUGGGACAGCAGUAGCUCCAUCUUUUC